rnacentral:rRNA from 1 species
CCUACGGGAGGCUGCAGUGGGGAAUAUUGCACAAUGGGCGCAAGCCUGAUGCUGCCAUGCCGCGUGUGUGAAGAAGGCCUUCGGGUUGUAAAGCACUUUCAGCGGGGAGGAAGGCGUUAAGGUUAAUAACCUUGGCGAUUGACGUUACCCGCAGAAGAAGCACCGGCUAACUCCGUGCCAGCAGCCGCGGUAAUACGGAGGGUGCAAGCGUUAAUCGGAAUUACUGGGCGUAAAGCGCACGCAGGCGGUCUGUCAAGUCGGAUGUGAAAUCCCCGGGCUCAACCUGGGAACUGCAUUCGAAACUGGCAGGCUAGAGUCUUGUAGAGGGGGGUAGAAUUCCAGGUGUAGCGGUGAAAUGCGUAGAGAUCUGGAGGAAUACCGGUGGCGAAGGCGGCCCCCUGGACAAAGACUGACGCUCAGGUGCGAAAGCGUGGGGAGCAAACAGGAUUAGAUACCCGUGUAGUC